UCAUUCACUGGAGCUGGCAGGGUUGCACACUACAAUACUAUAUAUUUGAGAGGAGAAUCUGACUCAGAAGUCCAACUCAGCGCUUGACUACCCUUGUUCCCUGGGAGAUUUUCAGGUGGCGGAAGAAAGGGUUGAGAUAGGCAUAUUACUGGGGUUACUCCAGGGGGAAGGGUGAUAUUCUCCUCCCCCUUCAUUACUAACUAUAUACUUCAGCACUUCUGUGGGGAGUUUGCAAUACAGACGUGUCUGGUGAUAAGUCUGAAAUAAACAUGGUGCCUGUUUUCUGGAAACAUAACUGAAUCGUUGGGCGGUAUGCAUGCACAUACUCUGCUGUAGACCUCACGUAAUCCCUCUUGAAUCCCAACACGUGCUCACUUGCUCGCUCUUACUAUGUUUCUUGUUCUUGCCUUUUCUGUCAUAGUGGCUGUUAACUGUUGCCAGUUUGCUGCAGUUCUUAUCUCCUACAGCUAGGAGAACAGAGCAUUCUUCUGAGCAUAAAUUAUUUUGGACUGGAACAUGAAUUAAAUACUGUUUUACCCUCUGAAAUUAAGGAUUACUUAAAACAAGUAGAUACUUGGUACAAGAUGGGAAAUAGUUUAUAGUCUGUUUUAGGAAAAAAAUAGAGUAACAAUAACCUUUUAAAGUUUUAAAGUCUUUUUUUUUUCUUCAAAGUAAAGAUUUUCUUAGUACGUGGAUAAAAAGAAACUUUGGAAAGAACAUAAUAAGCUUCAAAAAGGUGUGCAAAGUGUUUUUGACUAAUCCUGCAAAAACCUAUGCCUGGGCAUAACUUUACUUAUGUGAACACCACUAUUAAGCUUGGCAUUGAACUAAGAAGGGGUUACUCAGGCGAGUAAACUUAUGACGAGGCAUAAGUAAUAUUAGGCCAGAAAACUCUGGCCUAAUAUUUGUGAGUAUGAAGAAGAAAGUUUCCUAAGUCUUGUUUACGCCAAUUCAGAUUAUUCAGGAAGAGAUUACAUUGAAAACAAUCUGAUUUAUAUGUACAAUUAAUUUGUAACUUGCUAAUUAUAAAGACAGUUACAACUUUUUACAGAGCUGUAAUAAGAAAGAAACUUCUGGUUUUACAAGAACCUAUAUUAAUAAGUCCUUUGCUGGCACAUUUAUUGAGGAAAAAGGACACAGGAUGAAAAUUCCACUGGAAAAAGGUCAGGGAGGAACAGAAGAUACCUCCUGAAGAAAAUGUAUCUCACUGAAGACUUUCUUCCUCCUUUGCAAGAAAGGACUAACAGAAAUAAGGAGUAUUUAACACUUUGCUAAAAAGGUGGAUUUGGUGGGGGAAUACAUCUUGCGUCUCUGCCCCACUCUCUAUUAAAUAAAUACUUUUGGAAGAUAACUACAAAUUGAACCUGUGGACUUACGAUUAAAAAAGUGCAUUGGGGAAUUGUAGGAAGGCCUAGAAAAACCUUCUCAACGAGUGGUGUAACCUUCUUGACAGUCAGAAGGUUAGUAAAAGACACUGAUGAAAGCAGAGGAGUCAGUAUCUCAAAGAAGUUUGUCACAGCAAGUGAGGAGUGUCUGAUACUACAGACUCCUUCAUAGUCACAAGCAUGGCUUCAGUAGAUGCUCUUCUAGACACAGAAGCUGAUGAUGCAACUGGUGAUCCUUGGACUUCUUUUUGUGCCCCGAGAGGAAAUGGGUAGCCCGACAAAGAUUUGACUCAAGGGAGAUAACUGGUAGAAGAUCAAGGUGUAGCGCAAAUUCAGGGUUCUGAUGAAAACUGAGAUGUUGAUGGCAAUGAACAUUAUUUCAGACAUGAAUAACUUCCAGUAUUAAAAAUGGUAAGCCGUCUGGGAGAAGGGAAAAUGUCUAGUGGAGAUGCUGAACUUUGCCAAUUGUUGAACAGAACUGAGUAUAAAAAAUACAGUUUAAAUAAAGCUAUUCCUCAGACUG